rnacentral:rRNA from 1 species
UACAGAGGGGGCGAGCGUUGUUCGGAAUUACUGGGCGUAAAGGGCGCGUAGGCGGCCUGCUAAGUCGAACGUGAAAUCCCUGGGCUCAACCCAGGAACUGCGUCCGAUACUGGUUGGCUUGAAUCCGGGAGAGGGAUGUGGAAUUCCAGGUGUAGCGGUGAAAUGCGUAGAUAUCUGGAGGAACACCGGUGGCGAAGGCGACAUCCUGGACCGGUAUUGACGCUGAGGCGCGAAAAGCCAGGGG